rnacentral:rRNA from 1 species
GGAUAACCUGCCCAGGGGACCGGGAUAACCCCGGGAAACUGGGACUAAUACCGGAUAGGUCAGGGCUGCUGGAACGGGCUCUGGCUGAAAAGCUCCGGCGCCCCUGGAUGGGUUUGCGUCCUAUCAGGUAGACGCCGGCGUAACGUGCCGGCGUGCCUACGACGGGUACGGGGUGUGAGAGCACGUUCCCGGAGAGGAUUCUGAGACACGAAUCCAGGCCCUACGGGGCGCAGCAGGCGCGAAAAUUCUACAAUACAGGCAACUGCGAUAGAGGGACGCCGAGUGGCGUCCGGAACGGGCGCCUGUCCGGCCGCCUAAAAAGCGGCCGAGAGCAAGGGCCGGGCAAGACCGGUGCCAGCCCGCCGCGGUAAUACCGGCGGCUCGAGUGGUGGCCGAUAUUAUUGAGUCUAAAGGGUCCGUAGCCGGCCUCGCCAGUCCCGCGGGAAAUCCGACGGCUCAACCGUCGGAAGAUCACGGGAUACGACGAGGCUUGGGACUGGGAGAGGCAUGAGGUACUCAGGGGGGAGGGGUGAAAUCCUGUAAUCCUCUGGGGACCACCGGUGGCGAAGGCGUCCUGCCAAAACAGGUCCGACGGCGAGGGACGAAAGCCAGGACCUCGAACCGGAUUAGAUACCCGGGUAGUCCUGGCCGUAAACGAUGCCCGCCAGGUGUUGCAACUCUUGCAGGGGGCUGCAGCGCCGUAGGGAAGCCGUUAAGCGGGUCACUUGGGGAGUACGGCCGCAAGGCUGAAACUUAA